CUGGAUGAGCUUUGUGUUACCCUUCCCUUCGUGUGGGAGGAGUCAAGGUUAAGCGGGGUUACAGAGGCUGAAGCAGAGCUUCAGAUGAACCAGGAAGAGAGGGGGAGGCAAACCUUGCAGCAGGUGCUGCACCGGCCCGCCCUGCCCUGCCCUCCAGCCAGGACCCCAGGCCACGCAGCACCAACCCUGUCAGUGCGAACUCAGUGCUGGGGAUUUGGGUGACCGUGCAAUGAGAAGACAGAGGGAGAGGGGUGAGGCUGCACUCUGUGGCUAUGGCAUCAGAAUGCAUAAUGAAAACUGAUGUAAAUGCAUGGCUGCCAUUUCACCAAUGCUAGAGGGCUCAUCUCAAUCAAAGAAGCUGCAAAAAGAAAAAAAUACUGGUGAGUCACGGAUUCUAGCUUUUCACCACUGGUGGCAGAUUGGAAUUUAAGCUCUUUGAAUAUUAGAAAUAGAGCAAAUUUCCAUAAAUGGUGAUGGCUGCUAUUAUUUUGUUCUAUCAGAGCUUGUGGGAGAGAAAUGCAACAAGAAGAAAAGUACUCUCCAGGGGGACACACUCUUGGAGGUUUACUGGAGUUUUCAAAAGCAGUUUUUAUAGUUUGCUAAUGAGCUGUCUUGAAAUAUGACGUCUGCCCCUUCAAGCUGAUGACUUCCUAGCCUCUAAGCAAGUGACUCAGACCUGGAAAGGGACAGAGAGAAGGGCUGAGGUCAGCCUGUUGGUCAGUGGGUGUGGGCAAAAGUGUCAGGCCACAUCUCAGCCUGGCCGCCUCCCAAGAAAAGCUGAGACUCAGACCCAGGGAGCAGCAGGUUCAGGACGCUGCUCUGUGAACUGUGGGCUAUGAAAACACGGCGGGUGCUGGCUGGCUGGGUCACCUGCAUUCAUCCGCCCACAGGAACGUUCUCUGACCACCAGAAACCAGGCUGUGGAUGAGCUGUACAAUCCUGGUUCAGAAACAACUGCCUAAUGCUCGAUUCCUGCAAAAUGGACAGCCGGGCUGGGUGGGCAAGCUUGCAGGAUGCCCAGCCCAGAUGCUGUCCAACUCGAGCAGAGGGUGAAGUGGUGUGACAGACAAGGAAACCAUCUGGAACUACCGCUGCAGGCAGCCCCCUGAACCCAGGGACAGGAGCGGAUGAUUACUGGCCAGGAAGAAGACCACAAGGGGCCUGUGAAUCCGAAGAGCAUUUGCAGAAGUACUACCAGCCCAGCUCUGAGCCACACGACCUCUCACCGUCCUAAAGAGAGGAGCCAGCAGAGCCACCCUCCCUGCUGGCCGUCACGGCUGCUCUCUGAUCGUCACCGUGUGUACCAGGUGUGUGGGGUGACAGCUCUGAAGUGAUGGAGGAUACCCAUGACCCCACCAGAAGAUGCUCUGCAGAGAAAGGCUCAGAGGACAAGGAUCUGUCUCGGAUGAGGAGGAGAUGGCCAGGCAGACAGAGGUGAUCUAGGUCAGGGGGGAACCGCAUGCAAAGGCCCAGAGGUGAAGGACAGCAGGCCGUCCAUGUUGACGGAGGAGACCCCGGGGCAGAGCCACGCCUGUGCACAGACAGAAGCCUGCUGUGGCCCCAGGCCGCGGAGAGGCCUGCACGCGGGCUGGAGAUGAGCCUGAGUGUAAACUGCGACAGUAGGGACGCUGGCCAUGAGGGCGGCCCUUUCACUGUCAGAAAGGACGGGAAGGGGUGUGCAGAGAAGUCUCCAGUGGGCUGUGUGACGGGAGGGGAGCACUGCUCCUGGAAACCCCUCUGGGAGCGGUGCUGACUGCAGUGUGCGGGCUGCUCCAGGGUGCGGGUUGAAGGACGGCAGGGCGGAGUCCCCAAGGAAGACCACAGAAGGGAUCUCACUGGGAUGGGGUAGUGAAAGAAGGGGAGUCCUGCAGCCAGACAGACACGCAAGUGCAGGACACGUGGAGAGGGAAGAACUAAGUCUCUGAGCUGCACGGACUCCCUGGACCAGGGUCACCAGGACCUGCCAGACCUGGAUCGCCAGGACCUGCCUCUCGAGGGAGCAGGGCUGUGUGCCACUGCCUCCAGAUUGCUG